rnacentral:rRNA from 1 species
CCUACGGGAGGCAGCAGUGAGGAAUAUUGGUCAAUGGACGAGAGCCUGAACCAGCCAAGUAGCGUGAAGGAUGACUGCCCUAUGGGUUGUAAACUUCUUUUAUAUGGGAAUAAAAUGUUCCACGUGUGCCUUUUUGUAUGUACUUUAUGAAUAAGGAUCGGCUAACUCCGUGCCAGCAGCCGCGGUAAUACGGAGGAUCCGAGCGUUAUCCGGAUUUAUUGGGUUUAAAGGGAGCGUAGGUGGGUUGUUAAGUCAGUUGUGAAAGUUUGCGGCUCAACCGUAAAAUUGCAGUUGAUACUGGCAGUCUUGAGUACAGUAGAGGUAGGCGGAAUGCGUGGUGUAGCGGUGAAAUGCUUAGAUAUCACGAAGAACUCCGAUUGCGAAGGCAGCUCACUGGACUGCCACUGACACUGAGGCUCGAAAGUGUGGGUAUCAAACAGGAUUAGAUACCCCGGUAGUC